UACGAAGGGUGCAAACGCUGCUCGGAAUCAUUGGGCGUAAAGCGCACGUAGGCGGCUUCCUAAGUCGGAUGUGAAAUCCCUCGGCUCAACCGAGGACGUGCAUCCGAAACUGGGAAGCUCGAGUAUGGAAGAGGGUCGCGGAAUUCUCGGUGUAGAGGUGAAAUUCGUAGAUAUCGGGAGGAACACCAGUGGCGAAGGCGACUUACUGGACGAUUGUUGACGCUGAGGUGCGAAAGCGUGGGGAGCAAACAGGG
rnacentral:rRNA from 1 species